ACACAUUCAUGCACGCAAGAUGAAGAAUAUAUCCCCUGUGUGUACAGACUUAACCACGUGCACUUGCUCUAGGCAACUGAGGCAAACAGGAUGCACACUCACAAUUGACAAGCAUCAAACACCAGAAGCUGCUCCUGGCACAGCCCGAUCACAGACCAGCAUCUCUGACUUUUCUGUUUGCAGGGCUUCCGACUGGCUCCUGAUGCCUGUGUUUUCAGGGGUGUUUCGCUUCCAUUAAGAUUCUGAGGACACCAGCGGCCUGGAGGCUGGCUCGGUUUUCUAGAAGACCCAUGGCUGGGGCUCCCUCUACGCCCCUGCGGCCGCCCUGUGGAACAAGAUGGGAAGGAAAGAUCAGCAGGAAAUGUACCAGGAAAGGCAACAAGAAGUCAAAGCAUCUACUCAAAAGGAUGAGAGGUGCCACAUGGCACAUGGGUAUCUUUAGCGUGGACUGGACUUAGUUUCUUGGGACACAAUCAACUAUCAGGUGUCCACUGACUUUGUGCAUGAAGCUGCCUACCAAUGCAAGAAGAUGCCCCC